GGAUCUGAGGGUGAACUGGCUGUGACAUCUGUCAUCCCAUCGAUAGUCAGGGUUGAUUCGGCUGAUCUGGCUGGCUAGGCUGGUAUCCCCUUCUUCUCUCACUGCUCCAUGUGCAUGCACACUCGGUCAAAGAGGACGACCUUCCCGAAUAGAGGAGGACUGGCCUUCAGUCACGGGUAUAUGAAUAGCUGCACUCCCCUGCUAGAACCUCCAAACAAGCUCUCAAGAAUCAUAGUGGAACCUAUCAUGAAGGACUGAUGAUUAGAUGAGUUAUUUGUUCAUC
rnacentral:snRNA from 1 species